rnacentral:rRNA from 1 species
GCAAGUCGAACGAGAAAGUCACCUUCGGGUGGCGAGUAAAGUGGCGAACGGGUGAGUAACGCGUGGGAAACCUGCCCUUGAGUUGGGGACAACACUCCUAACGGGGUGCUAAUACCGGAUAAGACCACGGUGCCUCAUGGUACUGCGGUCAAAGGUGGCCUCUACUUGUAAGCUACCGCUCAAGGAUGGUCCCGCGUCCCAUUAGCUUGUUGGUGUGGUAACGGCGCACCAAGGCACCGAUGGGUAGCUGGUCUGAGAGGAUGGUC